AGCAAGUCAAUGCUGAGGUAAGACGUACUGCUCACGCUAUCUGCAGUGUCACUGCAGCCUCAGAGUGUUAGAGCCGAGGUGACCAUGCUGCCCGUGUUGUUUCUGCUGGUUGCCUCGCUGGUCAUCGAGGGUGGCUUGUGCCAAAGUGGAUGCCUGACAUUUGAUGUCUUGAACACAACUGAUGAUUAUCAGAUCCGUCGUUACAAUGCAAUGAUCUUGGUUGGAACACGCGUGAAUAUCAGCAGGGAUUCCCGAAGCAGAGUGGGCUUCAAGCUUCUGAAAGACUACGCAAACGGGUCAAACUCAGAAGGAGUGGCGUUUCAAAGCACUGGACAAUUCCUCACGUCGUUCGAUGAGAAUGGAGAAAUUUACGUGUACAUGUUGCUUCCUGAACAGUUUCAGGAAAACCCUCCAAUACCAACGAGCAAGGAAGUG